rnacentral:rRNA from 1 species
UUGAGUUUGAUCAUGGCUCAGAUUGAACGCUGGCGGCAGGCCUAACACCUGCAAGUCGAGCGGCAGCACGGGUACUUGUACCUGGUGGCGAGCGGCGGACGGGUGAGUAAUGCCUAGGAAUCUGCCUGGUAGUGGGGGAUAACGCUCGGAAACGGACGCUAAUACCGCAUACGUCCUACGGGAGAAAGCAGGGGACCUUCGGGCCUUGCGCUAUCAGAUGAGCCUAGGUCGGAUUAGCUAGUUGGUGAGGUAAUGGCUCACCAAGGCGACGAUCCGUAACUGGUCUGAGAGGAUGAUCAGUCACACUGGAACUGAGACACGGUCCAGACUCCUACGGGAGGCAGCAGUGGGGAAUAUUGGACAAUGGGCGAAAGCCUGAUCCAGCCAUGCUGUUUUUUUGAAGAAGGUCUUCGGAUUGUAAAGCACUUUAAGUUGGGAGGAAGGGCAGUUACCUAAUACGUAUCUGUUUUGACGUUACCGACAGAAUAAGCACCGGCUAACUCUGUGCCAGCAGCCGCGGUAC